GGCUGGCCCCGCCCCGGGGAGGGCCGACGGGGGCGUCCUCGCUGACGCGCGCGGUUGGGCCAGUGCCCCCGCACGGGCGGCUCUCAAGGAAGUGUGCUGCCAAGCUCUGUGUUGCCAAGCUGUGUACCCUGGCCCAGGGAUGUGCCCAACCAGGGUAUCAUGUGCCAUUGAGGGGAUAGCAUUAGCUUCAAAACAGAGGAGCCAGCAGAAAAAAACAGAACAGUCAGAGAAGUUGAAGAAGACCUGAGGAUUUGUUUCCUGGAAUCUCAGAAAGGCAAGAAGGUGAUUAAUGAAGCUGCAAGGUGCAGACAAAUCAACCAGAAGUGAUCUGCUAAGACUUUGAUAUUGAAUCCUAGGACUUCCUGGGCCCAAAGGAACCUAUAUCCCUUCAUUACAUUUUUUCUACAGAAUGAGGCAUGUACCCAGGUGAGUACAGGUCCUGGGUCUUGCAGGGGAUGCUGAGUCACCCCGCUGCAGGAGGGCAGGUCUGUGCACGCCCUGCUGAGGUCCUGGGUUGCACAGAACACACCGAGUCACCCCACUGCAGACAGGCAGCCACCUGGUUCCACACUACAAAGACGCAGAGGACACCAG